UGCUUUAUUAUUAUUAUUAUUAUUUAUCAACCACCAUUCUGGACUUUGUGUGUUUUGUUUUUUUUUUUUUGGUCAUCAAUGGAUCACACCGACACCACUGAGAAAAAGCCUAGAAAUAUGAGCCUUUGAUUCGUCUUUUAUGCUCUCUCUCUCUCUCUCUCUCUCUCUCUAUCUUUGCUUCUCUAAAUUAAUGAUUUCUUCUUCAAGCAUGUUGCUUUUACGUUGUAAAGGAUGGACUUGUUGAUCUAGUUCACAACAAAUACAGGCUCUCAAUCUCCACUUUGCGUAUCUGUAGGCUUGAGUGAUGCUUCUCUCAAGACAGUUCCAGAUGAAGCUUUCAAAAUGUUUCAUCUUAAAUAUCUAAUCUUAAAUAUCUAAACUCGAGAGGAACUAAGGUGAGAAUGGUCAAGACAUCUUUCAAUUUCAAAUUCAAGAUUCAAUGCUCUGAAACACAACAUAUUCAAUGUUUCGAAACACAACAUAAUUCUUGUGUAUGAAUUGCAAAAUAUUUGUACAAACAGCAAAUAUAAUAAAACUUUGUAUAGUUUAUUUUAA